rnacentral:rRNA from 1 species
UACGGGGGGGCAAGCGUUGUUCGGAAUUACUGGGCGUAAAGGGCCAGUAGGCGGCCAACUAAGUCGGAUGUGAAAUCCCCAGGCUCAACUUGGGAACUGCAUCCGAUACUGGAUGGCUUGAAUUCGGGAGAGGGAUGCAGAAUUCCAGGUGUAGCGGUGAAAUGCGUAGAUAUCUGGAGGAAUACCGGUGGCGAAGGCGGCAUCCUGGACCGACAUUGACGCUGAACGGCGAAAGCUAGGGAGCAAACGGG